GACAGAGGGUGCAAACGUUGCUCGGAAUUACUGGGCGUAAAGCGCGUGUAGGUGGAUUGGUGUGUCAGAUGUGAAAUCCCUGGGCUCAACCCAGGAACUGCACCUGAAACUACCAGUCUUGAGUGGUGGAGAGGGAAGUGGAAUUCCUGGUGUAGAGGUGAAAUUCGUAGAUAUCGGGAGGAACAUCCGUGGCGAAGGCGGCCACCUGGACCAACAUUGACGCUGAGGCACGAAAGCGUGGGGAGCAAACAGG
rnacentral:rRNA from 1 species